AUUCAUUGCUCCACGUUGUUCCAUCCAGUCAGGUGAAAGAAAUUUAUAUAGUUUUGCCUUUUUUGCAAAAUGAAAGUAGGUUCUUCAGAAACCACAUUAUUACUUUUAAACCUACAGAUAUUUAUUGGGCACCUGUGAUGUGCUCUGUGCUGUCAGGCACUGUGUUCUUAAAGCACAAACCAUCACAAAGUGAUUGCAUUGUGGUAUUCUGUUAUCCUUUAUCCGCACUUUGGAUGGUCAGAAAGUGUCUCUGCUAGACAAAAGCAUGGAAGGUUUCCACCAGCGCUUCAGAAUUUUCAGGCAGUCGUCUUUUUAAAUUAUUAUUUAGUAAAGAAUUGAGACAAAACCAGGUCUGUGUUAAAUGCUUGACCCACAGGUGGUUUUCUAAAUGUGUACUGCCUGCGGGUUUGUGCACAUUUCUGUUACUCGUUUACCUUCACACAGUGUGAUGUAAAAAGAUGCAUCUGAUAAUGAGUGCCUCUUUGGGAUUUGAAAGCAUGUGACCAAACGUGUAGCAGAGCCAAAGGAAACUAAGUCAAGACUUGUACAGUCCUUGUGUUGACCCGGGGAGGGAAGCAGCACAUUUCUUUGCGAGCUGACACGUGCCCUGACUUGACAACUUGGUCUCCUAACAUGAGGUCCUUGAGGAGUCAUAGGCCUUGGGUAGUUUGUGCUCAUGUUUUAAUUUCUUCAUCUGAUUCUGAGCUGGUUCAUGUCCCUGGAAGAGAAUUUUUAAUUUGCCUUAAAUGUUCUUCCUGUAAGUAUAUGAGGGCAGUUUUUUAUACUUUUAAAAAUUGCAUUGGCUAAUUCUCCAUCGCUUUAUGAACUCCAUGUUACAGCAUCAUGAUUUUUCAUUUGUUUUUAUUAGUUUCUGAUGUCAUGCUGAAAUAGCACUGUGUUUUGGGUUUGUUUGUUUGUUUUAUGAGUUGCUGAUCUUCGGUACAGUCUAAAAGCCAAAAGUUGCCACUUCAUUGUGAUAACAUUGUAUAACAUUCUUAAUAGAUCAGGGAAGGAUGUAAAAUGUGAGUGUUAGAAAGCAUAGUAUAAUCUCAUUCAAACAAUCUUAAAAAAUGAGUGAACAUUUCCAAUGAAAGUGAGAAAAAAAAUAGUGACAACAUAGUAAGUUUAGAUCUGAAAUUUUUAAAAUCUGUUUUGCAAGAAAACUUACUAGCCUGCACGAAAAUCUCUCUGUACCUAGUUCUCAAUAGCAACCAUUAGUUUUCCCGUGAAAAAGACCAAAUCAAAAAUUUGUAUGGAAUGGAAAGAGUGGAAACUUUCUAUCAAACACUGUCAUUGAAAACUUACUGCUACCUAUUACUUAACUCAAAAAAGAUUUUUUUUGAGGAAAUAAUUAAAAACACAGUUUUUAAUCAUAAAAGUGACUAGCCAUUAAUGGCUGGAAAUGAUCCAGGUUUGGUUUCACUGUGAUCCAAAGUUUGACAUUCCUCUGAUUUCUCAAAAUUUGGUAAUAUGAUUAUUUUUAAAGCCAGUACAACAUGCUAUUUAUAUAAUUAAAACAGAUCGUGGCCAACAUUAACCUGCUCUCCCCUGUGCCCUAACAUAUUCUGGGGCAGAAGUACUUACCUUUAAAGAUAAUCCAGUAAAUUAUCUCCAUCAUUAAUCUCUCUUUCCCCUUUGAUGUCUAUAAUAUCUAUCCUGGCCAAAUUUUCUAGAAUUGAAUCAGCAGAGCUUAUGGUCAACUUGAACUUCUUUCCAUAAAGGUGACCCCUCCCCGUCCAUAUUCCCUUGCCUGUAUUGCAAAUAGUCUUAAUAACAGAACCCUAAUUGCCCAUGAACCUCAGAGGGCCCAUUGGUUAACUCAAUAUUCCACACACACGAACACUUGCGAAGAUUUCUUCAUAAUGUGAAUUUUUCUCUUGUUCAAUUCCAGAAGCAUUUCUUACAGUUUGGACAUUAUUUUUCCUCUCAGAUCUUCAACUUGAAGCUUUAAUUUGCACUGAAUUAUCUAACCCAGUUAAAUUUUUCAGUUUUUUUUCUCUUAUGCUGACAGAUUUGAAAGCAAAUCACAGUAUGUUUUCAACAAUACAGGUACUGCCUGUUGACCUGGAAUUUUAGUGCUUCUAGGAAGAGUUUGCAGAAAAUGACAGCAGUUGAGUGAAGGGUUUUCUUCUCAAUUACUAUUUUAUUUUUAAUGCCUUUUUAAAACUUGUCUAAUGUGGCAAAAUAGCUAUGUGUUCAAUUAAUUUAUAUUUUAUUCAUCCUUUUUCAAUUCUG
ensembl:lncRNA